GACGUGAGUGGCGAGCGUUAUCCGGAAUUACUGGGCGUAAAGCGCGCGUAGGCGGUUAUGUAAGUCAGGGGUGAAAAGUCAGGGCUUAACCUUGGCCUUGCCUUUGAAACUACAUGACUAGAGUACUGGAUAGGAGGGCGGAACUACAAGUGUAGCGGUGGAAUGCGUAGAUAUUUGUAGGAAUGCCGAUGACGAAGGUAGCUCUCUGGACAGAUACUGACGCUGAGGUGCGAAAGCUAGGGGAGCAAACAGG
rnacentral:rRNA from 1 species